rnacentral:piRNA from 1 species
UGGUCUUUCUCCUCCCAUCUGGUAUUAA